GAUGAACGCUGGCGGCGCGCUUAACACAUGCAAGUCGUGCGGUACCGAUGGCAAGUCUUCAUGACGAGCCUUCGGUAUAGCGGCGGACGGGUGAGUAACACGUGAGUAGCUGUCCUAGGGAGGGGGAUAACGCCUGGAAACGGGUGCUAAAACCCCAUAAGCCUCGCAAGAGGUGAAAGUGUACUUGUUACAGCCUUAGGGUGUGCUCGCGGCCUAUCAGCUAGUUGGUGAGGUAACGGCCUACCAAGGCGACGAUCAGUAGCCGACCUGAGAGGGUGAUCGGCCACAUUGGAACUGAGAUACGGGUCCCACUCCUACGGGAGGCAGCAGGCUAGAAAUUUGGGCAAUGGGGGAAACCCUGACCCAGUGACGCCGCGUGCAGGAAGGAGCCCUUCGGGGUGUAAACUGCUGUCGUGUAGGGAGAAGGGUACUAAGGUGAACAAUCUUAGUACUUGACGGUACUACAGGAGGAAGCCCAGGCUAACCUCGUGCCAGCAGCCGCGGUAAUAUA
rnacentral:rRNA from 1 species